AUUGAACGCUGGCGGCGUGCUUAACACAUGCAAGUCGAUCGGUAACAGGUGUAGCAAUACAUGCCGACGAGAGGCGGACGGGUGAGUAAUGCUUGGGAAUCUGCCUAUUAGUGGGGGACAACCCGGGGAAACUCGGGCUAAUACCGCAUACGCUCUACGGAGGAAAGCCGGGGACCGCAAGGCCUGGCGCUAAUAGAUGAGCCCAAGUCGGAUUAGCUAGUUGGUAGGGUAACGGCCACCAAGGCGACAAUCCGUAGCUGGUCUGAGAGGACGACCAGCCACACCGGAACUGAGACACGGUCCGGACUCCUACGGGAGGCAGCAGUGGGGAAUAUUGGACAAGUGGGGGCAACCCUGAUCCAGCGACGCCGCGUGGGUGAAGAAGGCCUG
rnacentral:rRNA from 1 species